UGCCAGUGACACUAUGUUCAACGGCCGCGGUAUUUUAACCGUGCUAAGGUAGCGCAAUCACUUGUCUUUUAAAUGAAGACCUGUAUGAAAGGUAUAACGAGGGCUUAACUGUCUCCUUUUUCCAGUCAAUGAAAUUGAUCCCCCCGUGCAGAAGCGGGGAUUCCUACAUAAGACGAGAAGACCCUGUGGAGCUUUAGACCCCGGAGUAGCUCAUGUUAAUAGACCUUGCCCAAGGAAACAACUAAAUGAGCCCUACCCCUGUGUCUUCGGUUGGGGUGACCAUGGGGUAAACACAACCCCCAUGUAGACAGGGAGCACUAGAAGGACACCACCACGGAACCACUACCCCCUCCUCAAAACCAGGGCCCCCGCCCUAGUUAACGAAAGCUUCGACUUAAAAUGAUCCGGGUUAAACCGAUCAACGAACCAAGUUACCCCAGGGAUAACAGCGCCAUCCCCUUCAAAAGCCCAUAUCACCAAGGGGGUUUACGACCUCGAUGUUGGAUCAGGA
rnacentral:rRNA from 1 species